AGUUGAAGUCAAAGGAUUUAGUAACUAAUAGACGCGAGUAGAAUUACAAAACAUGCUUACCGCCCCGGUCAGGAACUCCGGUUGAAUCUGCCGCUUGUCGGGAUGGAUUUGUUAUGGGGGAUGUGACGUAGCUCGGCGCAGAUUGGACGUCCACCAUGUCCAUCAUUGCAUCAGCACCUGUUGCCCCCUGGCCCCACCCCGUGAACCAAUCCGGAACCCAUCGCUGUCCCAUCGAGUUCUUAACCUCAUCAAUAACACGUUCAGUGAUUAUACCUUCGGCUCAAAGCUUCUUCAAUCAACAUUUAUCAUAUAAAACCAUCAUAACAUGUCAUCCACCAUCAUGUGUCAUAACAACACAUUACUGUUAUCACCAGGUGUUUUUCAACCUUUUUUGCGUCAAGGCACACUUAAGACACAGAAAAAAUCUCACGGCACACCAACAACCGGAAGUGAUAUGAAAAUCAAUCCCAAACAUAGUUUCAGCGUGAGCAUAAUGUACUCUAAGAAAUCAGGGAAACGCGUGUUCUAUUUGUUGUGUUUUAUUAAACGUAACAUCAUCCUAAUGACAAGAUGGCACAGGCUUUAUGCCCACGUAUCUCUUAAGCCUAGUUUAUGCUUCUGCGUUGUCCCUUGCGUCGCUUUUCACACCUCCUUGCGUCCUUGCGUCCUUCGGGACAUUUUUCUGCGACGCAAGCCUCCCGCAGCGCACCGGGCUGCGAUCGGUCCGCUAACUGCGUCCUUUACGGAGUCUCGCGUUUCCGCUUUCACAGCCCGAUAGCGCCAUUAUUAAAACGAAGAAUGUUUACGAGAGAAACGGAUCCGAUUUAAGAACUUUUGUCGGAAGAAAUGCGUAAAUAUGAGCGCUUCUACAAGCCGUCAUUGGCGGGUUGUAGAAGCGGGUUUGGUUUCACGGAGCGAGAUCGCCGCAAACGCCGGUUUGCCGGUCGAGAGGUGCGCCAAGUUGUGGAGGAAAAUACGGGACAAAUGUGUCCGCGAUGAAAAGCAGCGGCGAUGCACGGGACAAUAAAAUAUAUGAUAAAUAAACAAACAAAUAAAUAAAUAGACGUGACUCUCUAGGUCGUCUUCAACAAAAACACGUCACUCCGCCUGUUGUUCUGGGGGUGAAUUACUCUGCAACACACGCAGAACCACGAAUUGAAAUGAGUGCGUCGACGCAACGACAGAGACGCAGACGCAGAAGCAUGCGCCAGCCUUAAAUCUCACUUUUUUAAAUGGUCGCCUCAGCAAAUCUGCCCAUUAAUUACGCUGCGUACCGCUACCCGCAGGCAGAGGGGAGUAUUGAGCCUUCAUACCACCAACAGCGCGACGACACACACACACACGCACACACAAGUUGGCUCUUUUUUUGUCACCAAUGAAGUGACAGUAUGUAAAAAAUGAUUUUUUUCACGGCACACUUGACAGCCUCUCGCGGCACACUGGUUGAAAAACACUGCAAUAGACAACAAGACAGCAGUGCACAAGUAAUAAAAUAAAGUAAAAUGAAAUGCUAAUGCAAUGGGUUAGUAGAAUAAGGCUAUGGGUUAGUGUAAAACAAGGGAAUAAAGUUAAAGUUAAAAAUUUAAAAUAUUUAAAAAGUUAAAAAAAAAUAUUAAGCAUAAAGUGCACUAUAGCGAACAAGUAACAAAGUGACGAGUGACUACAAAGUGAUAAAUUGCAGUUAAAGUGGCGUGUGCAGUGUGAAGGGGAGUGACUGGUGGAAUGUUAUAGUCAGUCAGUGGGAGACCGGGCUCUGUUGAUGAGCCCGACUGCCGACGGGAAGAAACUGUUGGUGUGGCGGGAGGUCUUAGUCCUGAUGGACCUCAGCCUCCUCCCCGAUGGAAGGGGCACAAACAGUUUAUGUCCGGGGUGAGAGGGGUCGGCCACGAUCUUUUUAGCUCGCUUCAGAGACCUGGAAGCGAACAAUUUCUUCAGCUGCCUCAGGAAGAACAACCUCUGCUGAGCCUUCUUGGUGAUGGAGCUGAUGUUCAGCUCCCACUUGAGGUCCUGGGUGAUGAUGGAGCCCAGGAAACGGAAGGAAUCCACAAUAGUGACGGGGGAGUCACACAGGGUGAUGGGGGAGGGUGGGGCUCUGUUCCGCCGGAAAUCCACAACCAUCUCCACUAUUAUCCACAUUAUCACUAACAUAACAUCAUAUUUCUCAUAUCACAUAAUAUUAUGUUGUCAAUAUCAUAAACAUAAUACUAAUAUUGUAAUUUUUACUGCCAGGCGUGCUUUUACUGCUUAAAAUCCUAACAUAUUCAAAGUUGAGACUGAAAAAUUCAAUUGUGUCCCACAGUUUUUAUUACAAAAGGAAGAAUAUCUUGUCAAUUGAUCUUACAAACUAAACUUUAAAUGGGAUGCAAUGUAAAAAAUAUAAAAGAUCAUAAAAUGUUUUUUGAAGAUAUGCUAGAUCAAAUAAUGUUAGGUUGUAAAAAGAAAUAGGUUGUAAACUGUCAAAGACAAUCAAGUCAAAAUAUAUUUGGUCCAAAAUGUUUUGAAACAAACGUCCAAAUAUCUUAAGGCGAAAAAAAGUCAAUGAUUCUAAAGAAGUUAAAAUAUGGUAGGUCGUAAAAUGGUUUAGAAAGAUGUGUUCUUUUACACGCUGCAGCGAUUAGUGACAGCGGGCCUUGUGUGUUGUGUCACGCCAGUGUAUUGACAGAUUUACAGCGUUCAGCCUGCAGACCGGACCCCGCAGACCGGACCCUGCAGACCACAGCGUGAGCAGAAUCUGCUUGUGGUCUGAAGCGACAUCUGUUUGCGGUCUGCAGUGUCUGCCAACUCUCACGGUUUCACCGUGUGACACACACACUCACGCCACACACACCCACGCCACACAUCCAAUUUCUCACGCUAAACGUCACAGACUAGCUCUCCUCAUGUUUUGUUAUUUUUGUCAUGUGUUGACACAUUGUAUUCCUUAAAAAGUACUUUAUUUGUUGCACUUUUUUGUUUGAUGGAACAUGUGGUGUGAGGCUUUGAAUACAGGUCUAUUAAUUAGGCUAUAUUGUGGUAAAUAGACAGUCAUAGAGGCACAAUGAUACGUGCUACGGACUGCCGCUGACCUUUUGGCCCCGUGCGAGGCUCAUCGCUGUGGUUGGAUGGUUGAAUAAAAAGUGGUGCUCGAUACAGGCGUGUUUUUAAAGCAGUAUCUGUAAAAUGCAGCUGUUUAUCAAAACAGUCUCCGACCUUGAAACGCAGCAAAAGUUAUUUUCUUUUUCUCAUAAUUGUGUUAAGAUUGUUCAACAGUUGCUUGAACAGGUGCUUGACUUUGUGCAAGUGUGAGGCAAACGUUAAAACUCCCCUGUGCACAUGCAUACGCGCAAAACAAGCAGAAAUGUACAGACGCAUGUCAUUAAAUCGCUUCUCUGCAGCGACCUGCCAGACCAUGUGACCAGUAGCAUCCUUCAGCACAAUCCAAAAAUAAGAGUUGUGUGUGGGUGUCAUGUGACCUUUCUAUGUGAAUAAAACCAAAGCUUAUAGUCGUACAUACUUCAUGCUUGCGUGCAGAGACCGGCGGCGUUAUUUUACUUCCAUUCACCCGAUUGUGUUCGUUUUGAUUGACGUGUUUUAGUUCAGCCACAGGGAAUGCAUGUUAAGGCUUCACUUGGAAUUGGGAGGCUCCGGACCUCCAGCUUCGAUGCCUUUGUGAUAUUCACAAUAAAUUUUCUUUUCUGUUUGCACCUGACAGUUUUAAAAACAUCUCCCGAGAGCCUCACAAAGUCUUGUUA
ensembl:lncRNA